rnacentral:rRNA from 1 species
AAAUGAAAUGUUAAUCGUUUCCCAAGAUAUCUAGUUUCUUAAGAAAAAUUUUAAUUUUUUAAAGUUAAUUGUUUUUAUUUAAUUUUUUAAUUAUAAAUAUUAACUUAUUUAUUCUUUAAGGGAUAAGCUUUGAAGUUAAUAACCUAUAAUUUGUUUUAUAAAAUAUAAUAGUAAGCUUUAAACCAGCUAUCUUUAUGAUUACGUUUUAGUUCAUUAUUUUCUAUUUUGAUUUUAUAAUUAUUUUAGGUUUUUUAUUAGGAUUAUUUAUUUAAUUUUAAAAUUUUUGUAAUAAUGAUAGAAUUAGUAUAUUUACUUGUAUAUAAUUUUUACCUUGUGAAUUUAUAAUAAGGAACUAGGCAAAAUUGGUUUCCGCCUGUUUAUCAAAAACAUGUCCUCUUGAAAAUACUUUGAGGUCUGGCCUGCUCACUGAGCGGAUUUUUAAAGAGCCGCGGUAUUUUGACCGUGCAAAGGUAGCAUAAUCAUUAGUCUCUUAAUUAGUGGCUGGAAUGAAUGGCUUGACGAGAAAUCAACUGUCUCUUAAUAAAUUUUUGAAUUUAACUUUUGAGUCAAAAGGCUUAAAUUUUUCUUUAGGACGAGAAGACCCUAUAGAGCUUAACAUUUUACUUUUAUAUAGUUUUUUGUUUGUCUUUCUAUAUUUAAUGAUGAUGUUUUGUUGGGGUGACAUGAAGAAUAAAUAAACUCUUCAUUAUUAUAUCAUUUAUUUAUGUUUGUUGUUUUGAUCCAUAAUUUAUGAUCAUAAGAUUAAGUUACCUUAGGGAUAACAGCGUAAUUGUUUUUGAGAGCU